rnacentral:rRNA from 1 species
GACGAACGCUGGCGGCGUGCUUAACACAUGCAAGUCGAGCGGUAAGGCCCUUUCGGGGGUACGACGAGCGGCGAACGGGUGAGUAACACGUGGGUGACCUGCCCUCAGCUCUGGGAUAAGCCCGGGAAACUGGGUCUAAUACCGGAUAUGACUCCAUGACGCAUGUUGUGGGGUGGAAAGCCUUGUGCGGCUGAGGAUGGGCCCGCGGCCUAUCAGCUUGUUGGUGGGGUGAUGGCCUACCAAGGCGACGACGGGUAGCCGGCCUGAGAGGGCGACCGGCCACACUGGGACUGAGACGCGGCCCAGACUCCUACGGGAGGCAGCAGGUGGGGAAUCUUGCGCAAUGGGCGAAAGCCUGACGCAGCGACGCCGCGUGA